GGAAACGUGAUUAAUCCACGAGAGGUGA
rnacentral:sRNA from 1 species